GGCCGCGCUGCUGGGCUGCGGCCGCGCCGCCGCCCCUUCGCCCUUCUCGUCCUCGUCCUGUCACCACCGCGUGCCCAGCGGCGAAGAGGCUGUCUAUCGAGUUCCUCUAAAGGAAAACCGCGUCUUGAAGAGAAAUGUGGAUCAGCAGCUGAGAAUUAAGAUUAUAUACGACACAAGUGUUGAGGAGUGAGUGUCAUUUGUGGCAACUUUUUCCCCCCCACAUGAGAGUGGAAAUCCUGUUAAUUGAAGCUUGUUCCUUUUGUUUUGUUUGCCAAAUACAGUUUGCUACCUGAGAAAAGUCACCUUAUAAAGGUGAUGCAGAAGCCCUGCAGAAAACAGAGAGCUCUAUUGCAAGUAGUGAGCUCCAGGAGGGAGCUGCCUCUGCAGUGAAUGUGGC